GAUAUACUCCAUCCGUCGAACAAAAGAUGUCUCAAUUUUGAUUAAAUUUGAAUGCAUUUAUACACUAAGUGAUGUUUAGAUACAUCCAAAUUUUAACUAAAUUGAGACAUUUUUUGUUGGACGGAGGGAGUACAAG
rfam:Brachypodium distachyon strain Bd21 chromosome 1, whole genome shotgun sequence.